UUUUGGUGCAAUUGUUUUUGUAAUUCCAAAAUUUCUUUGUAAAAAAGAUUUUCUGGAUUUUGGGUUUGAACAAAUUUGUUAUUUACUCAAAACCAUUCGUUGUCUUCCUUUUUUAUCUGCAACAUAUAAAGAUCUAAAUAAAAGGUGGGAUGUAGAUGAAGGUGUCUUUACAAAAUCAUUACCCAAUCAUGUGUUGUAGAUAAAGGGUGGGAUGCACCAAUGGCAUCUUUGUACCUUAACAGGUAGAGGUAUCUUUACUAUUGUCAACUCUGCAACCGGCCAAUCCACUUGCCUUCUUGCUAUUCCUGGAUCCUUUGCAUUCUACUUCAGAUUCUAGUUUGAGCAUCAGCAUCGCAAAUUCAGGGUUUUGAUUAGGGUAUUGAAUGUGUUUGCAUGGAAGCCCAUUCCGGAAUACCAGCUGUUUGACUCGUCGAUUGGAGAAUGGAGGCACCUUGAAAGCCUGCCAAAAAAAACCUCUGAUCUUUGGUAGAAAAGUCUCAUAUCCAUUGGACAUAUAUGCUACACCUAUGACACUAUGGACUGUAGGUUGAUUGGCUUCGACAUGGUGAGGGAGGCAGUAGAGGUUAUACGUGCACCAUCGGAGCUUCGAAGUGGAUUAGAAAUCUCGGUGUGGGUUGGCCAUGUUGCAGUCUUGGAUUGGAAUGGCCAUGUUUCUCUUGUGGCUGUAAGGCCAUAUUUUAAACUAAUAGUGUGGUUUUUAAGCACGGAGGCGAAGAAGUGGGAGGUGGUGAUCAAUAUCGAUAUGCUCGAGUUGGGGUUCGAAUGUAAUAGCGAAAGUGAGCUGAAGAAAGGUGAUAGGUAUCCGUCUCCAGUGCUUGUACGUGGAGGGAUAUACGGUAAAAAGAUUAUGAGUUAUGGCUUUAGUAGUGGGAGGCUCUAUGGCAUUUUUCCAAGUGAUAUACUAUUUGAUGGUUAUUACCUUGGCUGCAAACCCACCAUCUGUUGUUGGGAUUUAUAUGGUGGUGAGAAAGGAAUGGGGAGAUGUGGUAAGAAGAGGGGUCUCCCUCGACCAAGCCUACCGGCAAGAAAAAGAAAACCUCAAAACUCUGUGCAACAUAACUCUCUCCCAUGACAACAACAUGGUUUGGUGGUCCGGUCCCCAAGGCAUCUUGAAUGGGGUUGUUUGGUUUGUUGAGGGGGCUGCACUGUCUUCAGUUGGUUGUUUUUAUGUUCCAUUAUCGUUGUCUGAUUACUAGAAUUGUUGCUCUCUGAUGGAUCUCUUGAGUUGAUUAUUGUGUAUGUUCCAUUGUCUCUUGAGUUAACUAUUAUACUCGUAAAUUUGUGUCUAAUACAAUUGUUAAUUUUUAAUCGAUGUCUUAAUUUCUUUUUCUCUCUCUCAUGCUAAUUUCCAUGUGGAGCCGAACUUCAACAAUUAAAACGAGCCCAAAGCUUGCUGGUGCAUGAACAGAUAAGGGGUGUUACAUCCUCCCCCUCAUUGCUCUCUCCCUCCUCUAGAAUUUGUGUCCCUGCAAGUUGCCGGAACUCGUCAUGGAAUAUGUCCUCUAAUGCUACCAAAAAACCGUGAGAUCGAGUUGGCAAAUGCCAUAUAUCUCAGCCCAAUGACAGGAUCAAGUGAAGCUGAACCAGUUUGGUUUGAUUGUCUACAAUGCCAAUUUCAAUGUGCUCGUUGAUAUCAUUGUGCUCGAGUGUUUCUCUUACCUUGGCCAGAAGUCGCAAGUGAAAGCUGCCACACAAGCUCGAUUCGACAUCUCCGAAGCCAGUAUGAAGGGCAAGGGCGUUGUCGAUGAGAAGCUCAAUGAGGGCCAGACCCCUACGAAAUGCAGGGAAGAUUGAGACCGAGACCAAAAUAAACUCUACUCAGGAUGCAUUAUGAGGUCAAAAAGCAACAACUGGGGACAUUGUUCUACUUCAUUGAGAGUGUUAGUUUUUUAACAUUGUUUUACUUCAUUGAGAGGGUCAGGAGUCUCUAUUUCCUACAAAAACAGAAAAGGCUCUGGUGCAGUUGAGGAGUGCCUAUUUUCACGAUUGUCUAAAGACCUAAUAAAGCUCGAAUAAUUUGGGACGUGGCAUUGUACAAAUUGAAACUUCUUUUGUAAUGGAAGGGUAUUACCAUAUCCUUUAUACCAAUGAAUAUUGCAGUCAGACCCUUGGUUUGGCUGUGGUGGAGUUUAAGACC